UGGGGAAUAUUGGACAAUGGGCGCAAGCCUGAUCCAGCCAUGCCGCGUGAGUGAUGAAGGCCCUAGGGUUGUAAAGCUCUUUCACCGGUGAAGAUAAUGACGGUAACCGGAGAAGAAGCCACGGCUAACUACGUGCCAGCAGCCGCGGUAAUACGUAGGUGGCAAGCGUUGUCCGGAUUUACUGGGCGUAAAGGGAGAGUAGGUGGAUAUUUAAGGGGGAUGUGAAAUACCUGAGCUUAACUUGGGUGCUGCAUUCCAAACUGGAUAUCUAGAGUGGAGGGGAGGAAAGUGGAAUUCCUAGUGUAGCGGUGAAAUGCGUAGAGAUUAGGAAGAACACCAGUGGCGAAGGCGACUUUCUGGACUGUAACUGACACUGAGGCUCGAAAGCGUGGGGAGCAAACA
rnacentral:rRNA from 1 species